ACAAAUGAAGAAGAGAAAAUAGCAGAGAAUCUGUUUGGAUGGUGUUUGUUUUCCUUUUCUCUGUUUUCUAUUUUUCUUGGUUGGGUUUUAAAGCUUGGUGUUCUCUUGAAGAAGGGAACGUCAAGCUGAGGAAAAAUGAGGGGGUUAAGGGGGUUUUUAUAUGAGAAGGGAAGUGUUUGAGAGGAUGGUAACGGGUAAUGGGCA
rnacentral:lncRNA from 1 species